AUGGGUUGUUACAGCAGUAAACAGAAGCCUUCAAAACCAAAGCCUACUGGGUACAGUCCUGGUAAUUCAAGCCACCAACCACAACAAUAUCACCAUCAUCAGCCACUGUAUCAACAACAGGCAAUCCAGCAACCGAAAGUCACCGUUCCUCAAAUCCAGUUAGAAGCUCCACAACCGCAAACAAGACCCCAACAGACAGAGACCCCGCAACUACAAACAAGACAGCAACAGCCACAGCCACAGCCAUCAACACCUCCCCCGGCUUCAGUAAGAGUAGCACCCACCAACUCUACAACAGGGCCAGCUCAAAAUCCAGAGACUGUACUGGGAAAACCCUUGGAAGACAUUAAGACCUUCUACACUCUCGGGAAAGAAGUGGGUAGAGGCCAAUUUGGCAUUACCUAUUUAUGCACAGAAAACUCUACUGGGGACACUUAUGCCUGCAAAUCUAUACUCAAGAGAAAACUAAAAAGUAAGAGUGAUAGAGAAGAUAUUAAGAGAGAGGUUCAGAUUAUGCAGCACUUGUCUGGGCAGCCAAACAUUGUGGAGUUCAGGGGUGCCUAUGAAGAUAGGCAAUCUGUCCAUCUUGUUAUGGAGCUUUGUGCUGGUGGGGAGCUUUUUGAUCGAAUUAUAGCUAAGGGGCAUUAUUCAGAGAGGGAUGCUGCUAAAAUUUGCAAAGACAUUGUGAAAGUGGUGCACGGUUGUCAUUUUAUGGGAGUGAUGCAUCGUGACCUCAAGCCGGAAAAUUUUUUGCUAGCCAGCAAGAAUGAGGGAGCCACUUUGAAGGCCACAGAUUUUGGACUGUCUGUCUUCAUUGAGGAAGGAAAAAAAUACCAUGAUAUAGUAGGUAGCGCUUACUAUGUUGCUCCUGAGGUAUUAAGGCGUAACUAUGGAAAGGAAAUAGAUGUUUGGAGUGCAGGAGUUAUUUUAUAUAUUCUACUCAGCGGUGUACCUCCAUUUUGGGGAGAAACUGAAAAAGGAAUAUUUGAUGCCGUUCUUGAAGGACAUAUUGAUUUUGAAAGUCAACCAUGGCCAUCAAUAUCUGAAAGUGCCAAAGAUCUGGUCAGGAGGAUGCUGACUCAGGACCCUAGAAAUCGAAUCACUUCUGCACAAAUUCUUGACCACCCAUGGAUUAAAGAUGGAGAUGCAGCACCAGACAAGCCUAUAGAUAAUGCAGUUCUCUCUAGAAUGAAGCAAUUCAGGGCAAUGAAUAAACUCAAGAAGCUUGCUUUGAAGGUCAUUGCUAAAAAUCUAUCUGAAGAAGAAAUUAAAGGUCUUAAAGCAAUGUUCUCAAACAUGGACACUGACAAGAGUGGCACAAUCACCUAUGAAGAACUGAAGACAGGAUUGGCUCGACUUGGGUCAAAGCUAUCAGAAACUGAAGUUAAGCAACUCAUGGAAGCGGCUGAUGUGGAUGGAAAUGGAACAAUUGACUACAUUGAGUUUAUCUCUGCUACAAUGCAUAGAUAUAAACUGGAAAGAGAUGAACAUCUAUACAAAGCAUUUCAAUACUUUGAUAAGGAUAGCAGUGGGUACAUAACAAGAGAUGAGUUAGAGUCUUCCAUGAAGGAAUAUGGCAUGGGAGAUGAAGCCAGUAUUAAAGAAAUAAUAUCUGAGGUGGAUACAGAUAAUGAUGGGAGAAUCAACUAUGAAGAGUUCUGCACAAUGAUGAGAAGUGGAGUACAAUAAUUAGAAAGGCUUUUUUUGGUUAGGCAUGGGAUUUAUGUUACUGUUUAAUGAGACAGUAGAAGAACUGGGGCAAGGUUCCGAAGAGGUUAUCAAAUUUUCCUGACAGAUUUAAACUUAUUUAAAAGUAAUUCAAACAUCAUCCUGCAAAUCAGAAAACACAUUUUUCGUUUGCCAUUUCCAAGAGGGUGAAUUGCUUUGAAUUGUCUGUGGCGUGAAAUUGAGAACAUAAGCUAAUUUUACUUUUAAAGCUGCAUCUUUUGCCAUUGUCUCCAUUUCGCCUCUCUUUUCAAGGAGAUCCCUGUCUGCCCUGCACUUGAGUUUAAAACCAGCAAAGUGGAGCAACAAA